rnacentral:rRNA from 1 species
GAUGAACGCUGGCGGCGUGCCUAAUACAUGCAAGUCGAGCGAACAGACGAGGAGCUUGCUCCUCUGACGUUAGCGGCGGACGGGUGAGUAACACGUGGAUAACCUACCUAUAAGACUGGGAUAACUUCGGGAAACCGGAGCUAAUACCGGAUAAUAUAUUGAACCGCAUGGUUCAAUAGUGAAAGACGGUUUUGCUGUCACUUAUAGAUGGAUCCGCGCCGCAUUAGCUAGUUGGUAAGUUAACGGCUUACCAAGGCAACGAUGCGUAGCCGACCUGAGAGGGUGAUAGGCCACACUGGAACUGAGACACGGUCCAGACUCCUACGGGAGGCAGCAGUAGGGAAUCUUCCGCAAAGGGCGAAAGCCUGACGGAGCAACGCCGCGUGAGUGAUGAAGGUCUUCGGAUCGUAAAACUCUGUUAUUAGGGAAGAACAAAUGUGUAAGUAACUAUGCACGUCUUGACGGUACCUAAUCAGAAAGCCACGGCUAACUACGUG